rnacentral:rRNA from 1 species
AUAGGGAAGCCGUAGAGAAAUCGAGUCCGAAUAGGGCGAUCAGUCGCUGGGUGUAGACCCGAAACCAAGUGAUCUACUCAUGGCCAGGAUGAAGGUGCGGUAACACGCCCUGGAGGUCCGAACCCACUAAUGUUGAAAAAUUAGGGGAUGAGCUGUGGGUAGGGGUGAAAGGCUAAACAAACUUGGAAAUAGCUGGUUCUCUCCGAAAACUAUUUAGGUAGUGCCUCAAGUAUCACCAUCGGGGGUAGAGCACUGUUAUGGCUAGGGGGUCAUUGCGACUUACCAAACCAUUGCAAACUCCGAAUACCGAUGAGUGCGAGCUUGGGAGACAGACGUCGGGUGCUAACGUCCGGCGUCAAGAGGGAAACAACCCAGACCGCCAGCUAAGGUCCCAAAGAUUGGCUAAGUGGAAAACGAAGUGGGAAGGCUAAAACAGUCAGGAUGUUGGCUUAGAAGCAGCCAUCAUUUAAAGAAAGCGUAAUAGCUCACUGAUCGAGUCGUCCUGCGCGGAAGAUGUAACGGGGCUAAGCCAGUCACCGAAGCUGCGGAUAUC